rnacentral:lncRNA from 1 species
AGUCUCUUCCCAGCUCACUUGGCUGAAGACAAUAAAGAGAACUAGAUGUCAUCCUGCUGAUCCCAAUUUCCUAUGUUUCUGGCACCAGAAAACCCUGAAUGAUAGGUUUUUCUGAAGCUGCUGACAUUGGGUCAGCCCUCAAUAUCAUCACCUCUAGCCAUGUUCAGGAGGUACUCAAAGGUAACACUGGCAGCUGAGAGCAGGCCAGUCAAUGUCUGGCCACCACCCUAAUCCCACCUGGACAGUCACACCCCACCUCCCUAUGUGUGUUCGCACAGUGGGGGUGAUGUCAUGUGGGUCUGGCCUGUCCUGAGCAGACCCAGGUGUUGGGUUGUCAGAAACCCAGUGACCCAUCACAUUCACUCCUCAGAUCAUGGCUCAAAAGUCUACAGAGCAGAGACAAGAGAUUGACAAAGAGGUGUUGAUGAGGAAGAAAUCAACAAACGGCCAUUCAUUAUACAAAAAGAAGACAAUCCACAUAAAUCGGAGAACUAUCUGACCAGCUUAGGAAACUGUGGAUUCCUUCCACAGCAGGCAGA